rnacentral:rRNA from 1 species
CCUACGGGCGGCUGCAGUGGGGAAUAUUGCACAAUGGGGGAAACCCUGAUGCAGCAACGCCGCGUGAAGGAAGACGGUUUUCGGAUUGUAAACUUCUGUUCUUAGUGAAGAAUAAUGACGGUAGCUAAGGAGCAAGCCACGGCUAACUACGUGCCAGCAGCCGCGGUAAUACGUAGGUGGCAAGCGUUGUCCGGAAUUACUGGGUGUAAAGGGAGCGCAGGCGGGAAGCCAAGUCAGCUGUGAAAACUACGGGCUUAACUUGUAGACUGCAGUUGAAACUGGUUUUCUUGAGUGAAGUAGAGGUUGGCGGAAUUCCGAGUGUAGCGGUGAAAUGCGUAGAUAUUCGGAGGAACACCGGUGGCGAAGGCAUCUCACGAAUCCGCGAUUGACGCUGAUGCACGAAAGCGUGGGUAUCAAACAGGAUUAGAUACCCGAGUAGUC